AAAAGCAUUAUUUUCAAUCUUUUUCCUAAUUUUCAAUUGCACUUUUCUCUGUUUAUCAAAAAAUUUGCUCCAUCCUCUCUCUUGAACAACAACUAGAGGCUUCUCGGAUUUUGGCAUAGUCCUACUGUCGUCCAUCGUUGACCUCUGUUGGUGGCCGCUCACAUCCAACAUCCGAUCACCGGUUUGCUCUGAAACUUUUCGUGAAACUCUUCUCAGUCUCGUCGUUUUGGGUCUAGGUACAAAUUCUUCAAAAACUAGCUUGCUAUGCGUGAAUCUGCCCUAGAAAGUAGUAGAUCUGAACUCAAGAACCUCAUUCCUUGGUACGUCGAUCACCACUACCCUAAGGUAUAUUCUUUCUCUUCUUUUUAGCUUUUUCCUCUCCCGAUUUGGAGACCCAAACCUUUUGGAUAAAUGCAAAUGAAACCUAAAAAAAUACUUCUUUAUUUCUGACUUUGCUUUAUUGUUUUCUUUAUUGGAUUUUUGCUGACGUGCUUUACUGGCAACGAUUGGCUUUUGCAACAAGGUGGAUGAUGGUAGCUACGGAAUGAGUGCACUGUGGUGGUGGUUCGGGUUCGAAGUUUUUUUUUUUGGUUGGCUGGAUCUUGCUUGAUUUUUUGUAAAAUUGCUUAUUUUUUUGCACUUUCCUACCUUCUGAUUUCUUUUUGUGUUUUUCACUGUUGGUUUGUGUCGUGCCUUCUGUUGAUUUGUGUUGUGUGGUUUGGCUGGAGGUUGGUUUUGUGUUUUAGGUUUAACUGGUUUGUUUUUGGAAUUGAUGUAACCUUAACCGUUUCUACCUCUGGAAUGAAUCGAUUCUGUCGGUUUGUGUCGAUGAUUAUGGCAAUGGCCAUAUGUGAGUGGCUAGGUGGUUUGCGGUCACUAUCUAAGGCUAGAAUUCAUGGUUGGUAACUGAGUCUAAGUCGAUUAUGGCUGGCAUGACUUGGUUAGGUGCUUAGGCAGAGGUGACAGUAGGGUAUUGAUGGUGUGGAACAGAAUGGUAUUUGAGUGGUGGUGGAGGAUGAGCUCUUAAGACUUUCUAUUGUAGGCUACAAUGGUGGUUGAUGGUAGCGGUUGUGAUUGAGCUACAGAGAGUGAAGGUCGUGGUCUUUCUAUGUAAUCUAUUUCUUACCCCUUUUGUAGUGUAAUUGCUGUUACUUAAAUAAGCAUCCAGCCUCCAUGAAAUUCAAGAUUAAAACGUUAUCCUAUUGAAUGAAAUUUCAUCCCUUAUCUCCC
rnacentral:lncRNA from 1 species